CAGAAUCUGUCCGUGGCAGGUGUCCCGACGGCCUUCAGGCCGAGGGAUGAAACUGGGAAGCUGGUGCAACACCAGCGCUGCCCCCGCAACGGUGAUCGGUUCAGGUCGCACAGGCUGUUUGCUCAGCCAGCCACUGCGCAAUGCGCGGGAAGGCGUGCGUACCGGGAUGCUCACGCAUCCGACCGUCAGCCCGGAGACCGGCCUGCCACCGGCUAUCGUC
rnacentral:ncRNA from 2 species